rnacentral:rRNA from 1 species
CCUGGGGAGUACGGCCGCAAGGUUAAAACUUAAAAGAAAUGAAGGGGGGCCGCCCCAGCCGUGGGGCCUGUGGUUUAAAUUGAAGCAACGCGAAGAACCUUACCAGGCCUUGACCUUCCAUGUACGUUCCAGAGAAGGAAUGGGGCCUUUGGGAACAGAGAAACCGGUGGCGCAUGGCUCUUGUCAGUCUUCAUCUUGAGAAGUUGGGUUAAGUUCCAUAACGAGCGCCAACCUUUUCCCUAGUUACCAGCCGGUCCGGCCGGGCACUCUAAGGAGACUGCCGGUGACAAACCGGAGGAAGGUGGGGAUGACGUCAAGUCAUCAUGGCCCUUACGGCCUGGGCUACACACGUGAUACAAUGGUCGGUACAGAGGGAUGCCAAGCCGCGAGGUGGAGCUAAUCCCACAAACCCGAUCGUAGUCCGGAUCGCAGUCUGCAACUCGACUGCGUGAAGUCGGAAUCGCUAGUAAUCGCGAAUCAGAAUGUCGCGGUGAAUACGUUCCCGGGCCUUGUACACACCGCCCGUCACACCAUGGGA